rnacentral:tRNA from 1 species
AUUUAAGUAGCUUAUAUUAAGAGCACAGUAUUGAAGAUACUGAGGAAGUGUUAAACUCUUAGAUA